CUUAAUCAAAUUGAGUCAAUUAGCAAUCUAAUUGCUAAUAAAUUUUUCAUAAACAGUAGAGUCUCAGUCCAAUGGGACUCUCCUCCAGAGUCUCAGUCCAGUGGAACUCUUCACUAGAGUCUCAAUCCAAUGAGAUUCUUCAGCCAUCCGAUCAGAUCGAAUCUUCUAAUAUGUAUGACCCUAUAGAUUCAAACUAAGUCAGUAGCAUAGGAAUAAAUUUUUAUAUUAAUCAAUGUAACCAUCUGCAAUGGGAUCCAACAUCCGGAU
rnacentral:lncRNA from 1 species